GACGAAGGAUGCAAGCGUUGUCCGGAAUCAUUGGGCGUAAAGCGCGUGUAGGCGGUUCGGUAAGUCGGCUGUGAAAGUCCAGGGCUCAACCCUGGGAUGCCGGUCGAUACUGCCGGACUAGAGUUCGGAAGAGGCGAGUGGAAUUCCCGGUGUAGCGGUGAAAUGCGCAGAUAUCGGGAGGAACACCAAUGGCGAAGGCAGCUCGCUGGGACGUUACUGACGCUGAGACGCGAAAGCGUGGGGAGCAAACAGG
rnacentral:rRNA from 1 species